rnacentral:rRNA from 1 species
AUUGAACGCUGGCGGCAGGCCUAACACAUGCAAGUCGAACGAGUGGCGGACGGGUGAGUAAUGUCUGGGAAACUGCCCGAUGGAGGGGGAUAACUACUGGAAACGGUAGCUAAUACCGCAUACCAUCGGAUGUGCCCAGAUGGGAUUAGCUAGGAGGUGGGGUAACGGCUCACCUAGGCGACGAUCCCUAGCUGGUCUGAGAGGAUGAGCAGCCAACCUGGAACUGAGACACGGUCCAGACUCCUAAGGGAGGCAGCAGUGGGGAAUAUUGCACAAGUGGCGCAAGCCUGAUGCAGCCAUGCCGCGUGUGUGAAGAAGGGCUUCGGAUUGUAAAGCACUUUAAGUUGGGAGGCGGUACCAAAAGAAUAAGCACCGGCUAACUUCGUGCCAGCAGCCGCGGUAAUAC